rnacentral:piRNA from 1 species
UGACCUAGAUGAUGUUGAGGCACGUAAAGG